GGGACGGGCCUGGGCCCAGUGGGCGCUGAUCGCAAUCUCUGGGGAAAGAGGUAUAUAUGAGAUUUUUAGAAGAUGCUUUUCAAAAAGAGAAUGGAUUAUACGAGGAUGAGAAACAGUGGCCCAGGACUGCAUUCAAGAAUCCCUGAACUCAGAGGGACUUAAACCAAACAUCCGGACAUUUAGCUCAGCAGUGCCUACAGCCUCUAGCGACCCCAGAAGCAGGACAGCAAAUACGAGGAUGGGGACUGAAGUGAGGAAAACACGCUGAACCAAUGGACACGAAAAGAAGCGUGAUUAAGAAGAGGCUGCCUGAACUCAUUCGGAUUAAUUCCACUCUAAAGAAAUCCUCGAAUAGAGGAAACACCAUAAAAUAUUGAUGAAAUAAAGGAAAAUACUG